rnacentral:rRNA from 1 species
GACAGGUGCUGCAUGGCUGUCGUCAGCUCGUGUUGUGAAAUGUUGGGUUAAGUCUCGCAACGAGCGCAACCCCUAUCUUUAGUUGCCAGCAUUAAGUUGGGCACUCUAGAGAGACUGCCCGGGUUAACCGGGAGGAAGGUGGGGAUGACGUCAAGUCCUCAUGGCCCUUAUGCCUAGGGCUACACACGUAAUACAAUGGUGCAUACAAAGAGAAGCGAUCACGCGAGUGUCAGCAAAUCUCAAAAAGUGCAUCUCAGUCCGGAUUGGAGUCUGCAACUCGACUCCAUGAAGUUGGAAUCGCUAGUA